GAAGGAUCUAAUGGAACUGCAGCAGCUCCCGGCGAUACUGCCUCCGAAAGAGAACCAGCAGAAACGACAUCACGCGGUGAUAAAGACUCUGAAGAUAAGCCAAAACCAAGGACGUCAC
rnacentral:lncRNA from 1 species